rnacentral:sRNA from 1 species
UAAGUUAUAUAUAUAUAUCUAUAUAUAUAUUUUUGUAGCCAUUUUGUGAAAUAAAUCUUGUAGUUGGACUUAUUUACAAUGGCUGCCACUGAAUUUUGAUGUUUGUUUUUGAUAAUUAGAAAGAAAAUCUUCGAAUUAAAUAUUUGACAUUUAACGAUCUUUCCAAAAUCUCUUCACGUUAACUACACAGAGAUAUAAUUUGAUAGCAUUUAUUUACUACAAAAUUACAAAAUAUUUAGACAAUGAUUCAUAAACAUAUCAUAAAUAAGAUCAACAUUAAUAAAAUAAAUGGUUUUUUUUACGUUGAUAGGACGUUACUUAAUAAUAAUUGUAAACUAUAAAAUAAAAAUAUU